UCUCUUGCAACUUAUGUCAUACGCCUGGUGGACAACCAAUGUGAAGGAGUGCUCCACCGAAGAGGUCAUACCCAACAUGCGAAACGCCCCACCAUCUUAUCUUGCACUUUUGGCCAAUGUAAUCACAUCAAAUAAGACUUCGAGUCAGAGAUUACUCGUUUCUCGUGUAUGAUUCGACGCAAUCCCCUUGCAAUUUAGCCAAAUGGGCCGCUACAGGUUCCGACCCAUUCAUCAUCGAAGCCCGAAAGUUGCGAGACUAGGCAGCCUCAAUGGCGUUGCAUCCACUCUUUCGGUUCGUGGCGUCGUAUCUCCGAUUCACUUUCUGUUCUGCUUGGGAGGAGCAAACGAGGGCGUGCCUGGAGAUGGGGCACCGAGCUGGUCGAACCCAUAGCCAAUACUCUUUUGGUGCUUCCGUCCAAUGACGGCCAUUGACCAAGCUUUACAAGGAGAAGCACUUUCCUGCAACAGCAUUACACUGGUCAUUGGGAACCCAGAGAGAGACACCAAAGAGUAAAGAGGAGCUUGACAAUGUAGUUGGGAUGACGGCAAUGGCAACAGCAAGUGGUGGCAUCACACGCUAGCAAUGUAUAUCUUUCAUGGAAGGAAAAGGGAUAAGCUACCAAUAGAACAACACAGCAUGAAUUCUUGGCCAGCUGAUGCUCAUGACAUGGCAUCAACAAGUUACAGUGUUUUAAUGUGAAGAAGGAAAAGCCACAGAAGAAGGAAAAGGAACAUGAGACAUCUUCUACUGCAAGCUGAAGCCAUAAAGAAAACCUCUCAAAGAAUCUUCAAUAAAGAAACAGUAGCUGGCGGUUCUUAUGAGACUGGCAGAAUGAUGAGGGGCUAUUAAGUGAGCAAUGUCUUGUGCUUUGCCUUGUCCUUGUUUUGUCAGAUGCCAUGGAGAAAAUUAAGUCUACCUAGGUGAUCUCCUUGACCAUGAUGUAUGCUUAAUUAUUAUGUAUCUGGGUUGUAUUAUAUUUCACCAAGUGUUGAAACUUGGUUACACAAGUUUUUUAGAUAAUUUAGUCCAUAGAGUUGCUGUUAAAAGCUUGCAAAUGAGGAAUCACUGAGAUUUCUUCAAGACAGAAGGGGACAAAGGAGUGAUCUGCUGCUUGUGUUCUGAAUGGCCCCACUUUAUCCCAUCUUAGAGGAGGGAAUGUGUUGGCUCCCUGUGAAUUUUCCUGGAUGCAUAUCAAGUUUAUCCCAGAAUGUGUGGCCUCAAGCUUUUCUUCCUAUUCAUGCAGAGGCUGUGGCAAAGCUUGUAGCAUCUGAUAUUAGAAAGUGUGGUUGAACUGAGAACUCAAUCCAUUCACUCAAGUAGAACCUGAAUUCACUGAACU